CGCGGAGUAGAGCAGUUUUGUAGCUCGCAAGGCUCAUAACCUUGAGGUUCCAAUCCCGUCUCCGCAA
rnacentral:tRNA from 1 species